UUACACAUGCAAGUCGAGCGAUGAAGCCCCUUCGGGAGUGGAUUAGCGGCGGACGGGUGAGUAACACGUGGGUAACCUGCCUCAAAGAGGGGGAUAGCCUCCCGAAAGGGAGAUUAAUACCGCAUAACAAGUAACUUCCGCAUGGAAGUAACUUUAAAGGAGAAAUCCGCUUUGAGAUGGACCCGCGGCGCAUUAGCUAGUUGGUAGGGUAACGGCCUACCAAGGCAACGAUGCGUAGCCGACCUGAGAGGGUGAUCGGCCACAUUGGAACUGAGAGACGGUCCAGACUCCUACGGGAGGCAGCAGUGGGGAAUAUUGCACAAUGGGCGGAAGCCUGAUGCAGCAACGCCGCGUGAGUGAAGAAGGUUUUCGGAUUGUAAAGCUCUGUCUUUGGGGACGAUAAUGACGGUACCCAAGGAGGAAGCCACGGCUAACUACGUGCCAGCAGCCGCGGUAAUACGUAGGUGGCAAGCGUUGUCCGGAAUUACUGGGCGUAAAGAGUGCGUAGGCGGAUAUUUAAGUGAGAUGUGAAAUACCCGGGCUUAACCCGGGCACUGCAUUUCAAACUGGAUAUCUAGAGUGCAGGAGAGGAGAACGGAAUUCCUAGUGUAGCGGUGAAAUGCGUAGAUAUUAGGAAGAACACCAGUGGCGAAAGCGGUUCUCUGGACUGUAACUGACGCUGAGGCACGAAAGCGUGGGUAGCAAACAGGAUUAGAUACCCUGGUAGUCCACGCCGUAAA
rnacentral:rRNA from 1 species